GGACGCGGAUACAGACGCCUGAAGCCCCGGGGCUGCUUUUUCCGACUCGACGGCUCUGUGCCUCCGCGCAUCUCCCCCUCCCCACCUCCCACGGCCCACCUCCCCCUUCCUCCUUCCCCUCCCUCCUCCUCUCUCCCACCUCCCUAAAGAAGACCACAACUUGGGUUGAAUGCGGGGGAAAGGUGCGCCUUCCUCCCACCCUCCCCUACCUGCGUCGCGGGCCCUCCUGUCUCGGAGGCGUCCUCUGGAUUGUCGCCUCGGUGUAUCUAUCACCGGCCAAGGGAUUGGGGCCCAAACGGCGGUUCCACCAAAGCCCGAGAAGCCGGUUUCUUUUGCAGCGGUGUUCAUGCAAAGGGAAGGACCGGAAAGAAUAAUUUUGCCUGCACUGUUAGACCAGCACUGUGAGACCAGUAGAUGUCAGCAUAAGAACACAAUCCUCCUGAUUUCCGGUUCACCUAGAUGA
rnacentral:lncRNA from 1 species